CCAAAAGUUAAAGCGGAAUGAAAGAGACAAGAAGAACGCAGGAAAGGGAGGGAUUCUGAAUGCAAAAUUCCAUUCAGCUCAGCUUUUACAUAUUUUUGUCAGAAAGGUUAGCUAUUUUCAAUCCAAAUGGUUGUCUGAUCACAAUGGUAUUUCACAUGGUUGUCAGAUGAGAUAUUUCUGCAUAUAUAGUACAAGGGAAUGCUUGAUUUUAAAAGUAGCUGCUGCCAUAUACACCACAUAUUGGCUGUAGGAGCAUACACAAAAUUUAGCUUUUCACAUUGAACACACUAAGAUGCUUUUUGAUUGGGCAUCUAUUUCUGCAUGCACAAGCCAUUUUUUAAUUGAGACAAGGAAGAAGCAAAGGGAAACCGCACUGGCUUACUUCUUUAAGACCAUGCUCUAUCUUGACUGGCGCUCCGAUACAAGGCACCGAUCAACUGAACCUAUGGGUUAUCCAUGAACAUGACAAUGCGUGCCAGAAUCUGCAACCAAUUGUACAUGUGAUUCAUCCACAUGGCUGGAUAUUAUCAAUAUCAUAGACCUGAGAUAAAGAUCCUCUCAUACACAAAUAAAUCGUUUAAUGAGUUCAGAACAAAAAAUUAAAUAAUAAUAAUAAAAACAAAACUUCAUCUAUGACCUUUUAGUGAAUUCUCCAGGAUCAAUGAUACCAUGGUUUUAAUAAUACCUUUGCCACAACCUCAAAUUUCAGCAGGGAGUUUGUUUUGUUCUUGGUCGCACUGCAGUCCACAUUCAAGUCUGAUUGCCGCCACUAGUUCCGGAGACACAGUACGCUGAGACCGGCCUUCUCUACGCACUGAUGUAAUCCCCGCAUUUCGGGGUUUCUUAAAACCCUUGUGACCUGGUUCAUCAAAUGCUCCCCAUCCCCGGUAGAGUAUGACUUUGCUAGGCUCCUGGGAGACUAAAACUCCACCUGUUGCUUGCUGUAAAAUUGAAGGCAGAAGACUUGAUCCAGUUUGUUCAAGUUCAAUACAAACAACAAAAAAAAGGAAUCAUAAUGUGCAGACCUCCAGCUGAAAAACCACUUCUUGGACUGAAGUACCUUUGGCUCUGCCUUUAACAUUAACUAUAGCAAGAGGAUACUUUUUAAAGUGAGUUUUUAUUGCUUUUGCAACACCAGUGACAAUGUUGCUCCUCCCUGGUAAAUAGUGGUAGAAGCAGAGAGCUUAAUAAGAGUUCCCAUGAUAUCAUUUAAUUGCACAGAAAAAAGGAAAAGGAGAAGAGAGAGAGAAAGAUUAGUAGAAAGAGCGGAAUUAGCAGUGAGGGUGUGAAUUGGGAGCAUAUAUUUUUUCAAGCUAAAAAUAGGAUAGUACUGAAAAGCAGAAAAUAGGCUAUUACGAUGUGUUGGUAUCAACCUGUAUACUUAAAGGAAAAGCAUUUGCAAGACAAUUUCAAAAAGGUUCAAGGCAGCUUGUAUGUCCACAAGGUUCUACCUACUCCAAAGCCCUUCUACUGUUCUACUCAUUCCCCUCCACAUAAAGUCAAAACAGUUGAUGAAAACAGAGUUUUGGAGAGAAUUUUUUCAGUAUAUUACUUGAUGAAAAAAGGUUUUGUACAUGGCUCUAUAUACAUUUACGAGUCCUUGAUUAGAAAGCUAAACACAAACGGAUACAUAAUUACAGGAAUAAUUACAGGGAAUUAGAUUAGCUAUAUACAGCAACUAAAUUAAUUCCUAAUUAUGGGAUUCCAACACUCCCCCUCAAGUUGGUCCAUAGAUAUUACAAAUGCCCAACUUGCAAACUAAAAGCGUGAAAUACUUCACUGCUUAGACCCUUAGUAAAUACAUCACUCAACUGUUCUUUUGAAGUCAUAUGAGAAACAAUUAAUGAACCAUCCGCUAUCUUCUCCUUUAUAAAGUGCCUAUCAAUCUCUUGUUUGAUCCGAUUAUGCUGAAUUGGAUUGUGAACAAUACUAAUUGCAGAUUGUAUUGUGGACAAUACUAAUAGCAGCCUUAUCGUCACAGAACAAGGAUAAACCAUUUGUUUCAAGAAACAAUAUCUUGAUUCUCACUUUCUUUCUCUUUCUAUCUCUAAAUUCUCUCUCCUAAUUCUUUUUCUCCCUAAUUUCUCUUCUUCUCUAUUUCUGCCUGUAACUGCUCUGUUACGGUUCCUAACCCUGACAUUUGGUGUCAUAGCAAGGUGUGAGUGGGCUUUGCUUCAAACCUGUAGUUCUUGAGGGUUACGUCCAUGGCUAGAUCCAUGGGCUGACCUUCUUCCUAUACUUCUUCUAUUGUAUGUGACAAACUCCUUCCUUCUCCAACACCCACCAAAGAACUUCCCUUAGUGUUCUGUCACGUGCUUUUUCUAGAUCAUUGAAUAUCAUGUGACAAUCUUUCUUCCUCUCUUUAUAAAUUUCCAUUAAUCUUUUCAAUAGAAAGAUAGACUCUGUUGUAAAUCUAUCAGGCAUAAGCCAAACUAAUUCUCGAAUACCUUAGUAGUAACCUAAAUCUACGUUUAAUCACUCUUUCCCAUAACUUCAUCAUGUAACUCAUUAGUUUAAUGCCAUGGUAGCUUGUAUAACUUCGUAUAUCUCCUUUGUUCUUAAAGAUAAGAACAAAAUGUUAUUCCUCAACUCAUUUGGCAUCUUUCCAGAUUUUACUAUGCUAUUGAAUAGCUUGGUUAGCCAAGCUGCUCAAAACUCCCAAGACACUUCCAUAUACCAUUUGGGCUCUCCCCAUCUUCAUCUUCUUCACGUCUUCUUUAACUUCAACUUCUCCAUUUUCUCCAACAACUCAAAAUCAUAGGCCUUUUUAACAUCCAAGUUUAAGAUCACUGAUAGACUCCUUUAUCAUCCCCACUGUUCUAGCAACUUCUUUUGACGAGUUUUGCGACCCUCUUUUGAGAAAGGCCCCAUAACUUUACCAAGCUACCAACUUCUUCACCUUAAUAAACCUUCAAUGUCAACUUAUAAUUACUCCCCAUACGAUCAAUAACUGAUAUCUUUCAACCUAGCAACAAUGUCCUCACUUUAAAGAAACAAAUGGAAACCAAAUUAUAGCCAUUAACCACCUUCCAAUUUGAUUGUAAAAAGGACAAAGUAAAAUUAUUUAAUCUUGAAACUUUGUCACCAUUUUAACCCUUGAGAACCAAAGUAAUUUCCUACCCAUCAAAAAGACUUGUCAAGCAAAGAAGUCCUCUCAACUCUAAUAUUAUCAAACUCAGUAUUCUUUAAUGAAUUCCUCUUAUUCACCAAGUCAAAACAUAGUUCUUUACAAAUGUAGCAAACCACCUUCUUCAUCUCCCUCCAGUCCACAUUUCAUAAUCCACUACAAUAAUCUCAAUCUAACUAAUAAAACAAAAUUUGGUCUGCCACAAAUAUAACCACUACAAGUAAACUUAUUGUUCUUUAAAGGACUGUCUAGUAUCCCUAGCAUAAGGUGGGUAAGUCAGGCAAUAAAUCCUAAUAGUAGAAAAAUGAUGAGGUUCAUGAUCAUUAAUAAUUCUUUUUCUGUUUUAGAAAUUGAAAAAAAAUAUAUCAAUAGAAUUACAUCUAGCUAAAAAAAGCCUUAGGCAACAUAACAGGAGAUAUACAUACAAAUUUCAUACAUGCAGUAAAAUAUCUCAAGGAACUAAGUGGUCCUAGUGCAAAAGAGUGCAAUUAUCACCUAUCACCUGUUAAGUCCAAAAAUGGCUACCACAGAAACAACAUUAAUAAAUAAGAAAGACAUACAAACCACCAAAAGAGAAUGUAAAAAUACCUACUGCAAGCACUGGGCGCUUCUUCAUUUUGAGUGCUUGCUUUCGUAGCAUAAGCCUAUCUCUAUUAGAAAGACGAACACCCUUGGAAGGCAUGUCCCCCCCCUUCUCCAUAGAAAUUGAAACUGAUUCUUCCAAUUCACUUGUAGUUGAUUCUUCUGUUGAUCCCAUUACCUCAUUUUCAGGCACAUAAUGCUCAGCAUUGACAAGGGGAAAAAAGCCCCUUUCCUCUGACUGAUAUCCCCAAUUCCCCAUAGAAAUAUAAGGUCAGAAGGAUAAAAAGAAUGCAAUUUAAACGAACAUAGAAGGGGUCCUAGAAAUCACCAAAAUAUUAUUAGAGGAAGAAGUUGAGUUAAUAGCUCCAUCAUUUAUAGUAGCUAAUAGACUCUCAUGGGUGUCCUCGCUCACAGAUUCAGAUGAAGGCUGAGGUUCGUUUUUACUAAUCUCACUAGCAUUAGCUUCAAGUUUAUCUGCAGUCUUUAGUAAUCACGCCAAACAGAAUUUAUAAGUCAUAGAAGUUAAAGCAAAUAAAAAGGGUUAAAAGCUAUGAGAUACAUGAUAAAAAAAAUUGCAGGUAAUGAACAAAUCUAAUGCACCUUUGUCUAUAUGUGGUCUGGAAUGCAUGUAACGUUUGAGUGGUACAAAAUGUGUGUUGAAGUCGAACUUCUAUUCAAAUUAAACUUUAAACAAAAGAGUGGAGUGGCUAAUAGUUACAUUCUUCCUUUCACGCAUCUUGGUGGCAUAGUGCUUACCUCUAAAUUCUCUUUAAAGUGAGAAGGAACGACUGAAUCUGAGUUCACAUACAUAGCUGACUCCAUCCUGUGCAUAUCUUCUUUACCCUAGGUUGCAAAAAAUAUAUAUAUAUAUAGGUGAAACAGGCAUUAAAUCAAAGUAUAUGUAUAUAUGUGUGUGAUGUAGAACCAAUAGGUAUUGAAGGGAUUUUGGGUAAGAGAAACUAAUUCUCAAUUUUAUUUGCUCAAAUUAAUAGUCAAUAAUCAUAUUAAGCCAUUAGUGACAUAUGUAAGUAUAGAACCGAAGCAAGACACAACAAAUAAAAAAAGCCUACAAAAGGUGCUAUUGUGUGUGCAUGGUGAAUGUGCAUAGUGGACAAACAGUGCUUGUUGAUUGCAUUGGUCCUCUCCUCUUUCUCUCAUGGUUUAUACCCUUGGAGCAAUAAUUAAUUAUUUCUUCAUUACGAGGUACACUUGGACCAUGAAUUAAUGUAUAUGGUUUGUUUAUAUAAUGCGAUCAUAUGCUAGACUAGUAAUACAAGGCUUGGGGCAUGCGUUAUGCAAGAAAAUGGAUUGUGGUCUAUAAUUUAAAUUUCCGACAUGAUAUAUGCAUCACUCUGAAUCAUGAUGCAUAACCUGUAUCAUGUUUGCCAUCUGCAGGCCCAGCUAAUGAAGCUCCCA
rnacentral:misc_RNA from 1 species